GAUGAACGCUAGCUACAGGCUUAACACAUGCAAGUCGAGCGGACGAAGGGAGCUUGCUCCCUGAGUUAGUGGCGAACGGGUGAGUAACGCGUGAGUAACCUGCCUUUCAGUGGGGGACAACAGUUGGAAACGACUGCUAAUACCGCAUAAAACUAUCGGGGGGCAUCCCUUGGUAGUCAAAGAUUUAUUGCUGAAAGAUGGGCUCGCGUCUGAUUAGCUGGAUGGCGGGGUAACGGCCCACCAUGGCGACGAUCAGUAGCCGGACUGAGAGGUUGAACGGCCACAUUGGGACUGAGAUACGGCCCAG
rnacentral:rRNA from 1 species